rnacentral:rRNA from 2 species
GGACGCAAGUCUGAUGGAGCAACGCCGCGUGAGUGAAGAAGGCUUUCGGGUCGUAAAACUCUGUUGUUGGAGAAGAAUGGUCGGCAGAGUAACUGUUGUUGGCGUGACGGUAUCCAACCAGAAAGCCACGGCUAACUACGUGCCAGCAGCCGCGGUAAUACGUAGGUGGCAAGCGUUAUCCGGAUUUAUUGGGCGUAAAGCGAGCGCAGGCGGUUUUUUAAGUCUGAUGUGAAAGCCCUCGGCUUAACCGAGGAAGCGCAUCGGAAACUGGGAAACUUGAGUGCAGAAGAGGACAGUGGAACUCCAUGUGUAGCGGUGAAAUGCGUAGAUAUAUGGAAGAACACCAGUGGCGAAGGCGGCUGUCUGGUCUGUAACUGACGCUGAGGCUCGAAAGCAUGGGUAGCGAACAGGAUUAGAUACCCUGGUAGUCCAUGCCGUAAACGAUGAAUGCUAGGUGUUGGAGGGUUUCCGCCCUUCAGUGCCGCAGCUAACGCAUUAAGCAUUCCGCCUGGGGAGUACGACCGCAAGGUUGAAACUCAAAGGAAUUGACGGGGGCCCGCACAAGCGGUGGAGCAUGUGGUUUAAUUCGAAGCAACGCGAAGAACCUUACCAGGUCUUGACAUCUUUUGAUCACCUGAGAGAUCAGGUUUCCCCUUCGGG